UGCUAUACAUGCAGUCGUACGAACUCUGGAAUUGAUUGGUGCUUGCAUCAUGAUUUACAUUUGAGUGAGUGGCGAACUGGUGAGUAACACGUGGGAAACCUGCCCAGAAGCGGGGGAUAACACCUGGAAACAGAUGCUAAUACCGCAUAACAACUUGGACCGCAUGGUCCGAGUUUGAAAGAUGGCUUCGGCUAUCACUUUUGGAUGGUCCCGCGGCGUAUUAGCUAGAUGGUGAGGUAACGGCUCACCAUGGCAAUGAUACGUAGCCGACCUGAGAGGGUAAUCGGCCACAUUGGGACUGAGACACGGCCCAAACUCCUACGGGAGGCAGCAGUAGGGAAUCUUCCACAAUGGACGAAAGUCUGAUGGAGCAACGCCGCGUGAGUGAAGAAGGGUUUCGGCUCGUAAAACUCUGUUGUUAAAGAAGAACAUAUCUGAGAGUAACUGUUCAGGUAUUGACGGUAUUUAACCAGAAAGCCACGGCUAACUACGUGCCAGCAGCCGCGGUAAUACGUAGGUGGCAAGCGUUGUCCGGAUUUAUUGGGCGUAAAGCGAGCGCAGGCGGUUUUUUAAGUCUGAUGUGAAAGCCUUCGGCUCAACCGAAGAAGUGCAUCGGAAACUGGGAAACUUGAGUGCAGAAGAGGACAGUGGAACUCCAUGUGUAGCGGUGAAAUGCGUAGAUAUAUGGAAGAACACCAGUGGCGAAGGCGGCUGUCUGGUCUGUAACUGACGCUGAGGCUCGAAAGUAUGGGUAGCAAACAGGAUUAGAUACCCUGGUAGUCCAUACCGUAAACGAUGAAUGCUAAGUGUUGGAGGGUUUCCGCCCUUCAGUGCUGCAGCUAACGCAUUAAGCAUUCCGCCUGGGGAGUACGGCCGCAAGGCUGAAACUCAAAGGAAUUGACGGGGGCCCGCACAAGCGGUGGAGCAUGUGGUUUAAUUCGAAGCUACGCGAAGAACCUUACCAGGUCUUGACAUACUAUGCAAAUCUAAGAGAUUAGACGUUCCCUUCGGGGACAUGGAUACAGGUGGUGCAUGGUUGUCGUCAGCUCGUGUCGUGAGAUGUUGGGUUAAGUCCCGCAACGAGCGCAACCCUUAUUAUCAGUUGCCAGCAUUAAGUUGGGCACUCUGGUGAGACUGCCGGUGACAAACCGGAGGAAGGUGGGGAUGACGUCAAAUCAUCAUGCCCCUUAUGACCUGGGCUACACACGUGCUACAAUGGAUGGUACAACGAGUUGCGAACUCGCGAGAGUAAGCUAAUCUCUUAAAGCCAUUCUCAGUUCGGAUUGUAGGCUGCAACUCGCCUACAUGAAGUCGGAAUCGCUAGUAAUCGCGGAUCAGCAUGCCGCGGUGAAUACGUUCCCGGGCCUUGUACACACCGCCCGUCACACCAUGAGAGUUUGUAACACCCAAAGUCGGUGAGGAGUAACCUCUUNGAACCAGCCGCUAUCAU
rnacentral:rRNA from 2 species